AGCGAACGCUGGCGGCAGGCCUAACACAUGCAAGUCGAGCGGCCGUAGCAAUACGGCAGCGGCAGACGGGAGAGUAACACGUGGGAACGUGCCCUUCAAUUCGGAACAACCCAGGGAAACUUGGGCUAAUACCGGAUACGCCCUUACGGGGAAGGAUUUAUCGCUGAAGGAUCGGCCCGCGUCUGAUUAGCUAGUUGGUGGGGUAAUGGCCCACCAAGGCGACGAUCAGUAGCUGGUCUGAGAGGAUGAUCAGCCUCACUGGGACUGAGACACGGCCCAGACUCCUACGGGAGGCAGCAGUGGGGAAUAUUGGACAAUGGGCGCAAGCCUGAUCCAGCCAUGCCGCGUGGAUGAUGAAGGCCCUAGGGUUGUAAAGUCCUUUCGGCGGGGAAGAUAAUGACGGUACCCGCAGAAGAAGCCCCGGCUAACUUCGUGCCAGCCGCCGCGGUAAAAC
rnacentral:rRNA from 1 species